UACGAAGGGGGCUAGCGUUGUUCGGAAUUACUGGGCGUAAAGCGCGUGUAGGCGGCAGCGCAAGUCGGGCGUGAAAUCCCACGGCUCAACCGUGGAAGUGCACUCGAAACUGCGCAGCUAGAGUCCUGGAGAGGAAGGUGGAAUGCUUGGUGUAGAGGUGAAAUUCGUAGAUAUCAAGCGGAACACCGGUGGCGAAGGCGGCUUGCUGGGCCAGUUCUGACGCUGAGGAGCGAAAGCGUGGGGAGCGAACAGG
rnacentral:rRNA from 1 species